GACGUGACGGCCGUAUGUAUCUAUUUGC
rnacentral:sRNA from 1 species